UUAGGGUUCAAGGUUUGGUUUAGGUUUAGGAUUUAUUUAGGAUUUGAUUUAGAGUUUAGGAUUUGGUUUAGAGUUUGAUUUAGGUUUUAAGAUUUGGAUUAGGAUUUGGUUAGGGUUUGAUUUAGGAUUUAGGAUUUGGAUUAGAAUUUGGUCAGGAUUUGGUUUAGGAUUUAGGAUUUGAUUUAGGAUUUAGGAUUUGAUUUAGGAUUUGAUUGAAAUUUGGUUUGGAGUUUGUUUAGGGUUUAAUUUAGAGUUCAGGAUUUGAUUUAGGAUUUAAGAUUUUAUUAGGAUUUAAGAUUUAAUUAAUUUUGGCUUAAAUUUUGAAUGAAGUUCAAUAGGAUUUUAUUAGAAUUAAAUUAAGAUUGAAUUGAGAUGUAUUUGAGUGAUAUUUGUGAUCAUUCUAAUAUUUCUUUAAGAUUUUUUAUUAUUUCUUUGAAAUU
rnacentral:lncRNA from 1 species